UAUCAUAUAACGGGUAUAAAUAAGAGUGUCAUUAAAAUUUAUUAUACUGACGAUAUUCUUCGUCGACAGGAACAGUGUUAUUGUAUUGAGACUCCUUGCGUUCAUAUUAAAUCACUUCAAUAACCACUUUAAAAGGACAUUAAGAACAUUAAGAACAUAAGGGUGUUCAGAUGUAUUAUAAUUGUGGUAUGUGAGAAUUAAGUGUAUCUAAUUAAGUGUUAUCAAAACAAAGCGAUACUGGCACUUUGGAUGUUGAUUCUUCUAAAGUGAUUUAGUGAUACUGCCAAUACCGUCCAACAGAAGAAGGGAAGGAAACAUGGCACGCUUCACAAAGCUGCAUUACAAAAAGAGAAGCUAUCGUGUAGUAAGAAGCGCAAACAAUGGAGGGAUUAGAAAUCCACCUAUAACAAAGAACAACUUAUGUCAGUAUAUUUAUGGACAGAAAAGUUCGGACAUUGUCAAAAGUUGAUGCAUAGACAGGAAAAUGAUUAAUUAGUUAUCUGCUGAUACAAAUUUAACUCUGUAUUAUGCUGAGCGAUUUGGUAUAUAAAUUUUCACGACAGGACAUUGUGAAAAAUCUGUUCAAAUGUCAGGGAUGAAACUACAUGUAUAUGGCGAUUCCUUAAAGUGUACUGAAAGUGCACUUAUUAACAGCGCCACAUUGCUGUACUAUUAAAGUUUUAUAUAUUCUUUCACACAUUGAACAACACCGUUUUAAUACGGCUAAAGCAGGUAUCAGAGAGGCAAACAGCAUUGCAGUAAUGUAAUAUGAUAUAGCAUACACGUCACAGAUCUAGUAUUCAUGCGAAUACUACAAUUGCUUGUUUUAUUUGUCCAAAUGAAACAGUCAUACAUGCAUUGUGUGUAUGCAUUAUGAGAGAACCGUUCAUGAAUCAAUAUUAUGUGUGUUCUCGUGUUUAAAAUAAAUGUUAAUUUCACUUUGAUUGUUAUUCAAUGUUGAAUUUCCUGAAAAUUUUAUUUGAACUAAUAAAUGAUAAAUCUUAAUUGGUAAGUCUUAACUGCUAAGUUCUAACACUUAACUGACAAAUCUUAACUGCUAAGUCCUCACAUUUAACUGACAAGUCUUAACUGCUAAGUCCUAACACUUAACUGACAAGUCUUAAUUGAAAAGUCCUUACACUUUACUGAUAAGUCUUUUAAAAUGAAUGUUAGAUUUUUCAGUUUUAGUUUUUUGUUUCAGGUUUUACACAGUUAAUGUAGCUUAUUUUUGAUGCAUUAUUAAUAACCUAUUAUUUGAUGUAUACAAGUAGUGUAUAAAAGAAAUAAGUACAAUGUAUUCUAUGUUCUAUAUAAUUAUUUUCAUGAUUUUUUUAGUGCAUGUCAAAAUGUUCUGAAUAAAAGGUGUAUACAUGUAUGUUUCGUUGUUAUGCUUGCAUAUUUACAUUGUCCAAUAAAUAUCCACCAUUUCUUUCUCACUGAGCAAUGAGUGGUCAUAUCAAAGUAUUCUAAUCAAACUUUAGUAUAAUAAAGUAAAGAGAAAAGCUUUAUUUAACAUAGCAAAUGGUCAAGAUUGCAUAGUAUUUGCAAUAUAGUUUUUGCUUCACAUUCAUUGUCGUUGACCAGGCAACGCCACACUGCUCUGUAUCCAAGACACCGGCCACUUGUUUGCAUUUCACUGUUCACAAAUUCACUGUUCACAAAGGCAAUAACCUCGUCAACCGGUGUAUAUUUACAACCCGUUCUUCUUCAGUAUUCUUUUCAGUUGCCUUAUACAUAGACGAAUUUUAUGUCGCACAAGCAGCAUGCAAACAAUUUUUUUCCUUGCUCGAAAUACACCAGCAUUUGUUGUAGUCUCUCAAGUCUUGUUUCAGAUACAGGCAAAUCUGUAGGAACCACCGCAUUUGUAACAGAGACAUGCACAUUCGCUCUAGUCAAAAAAGGUCCGCAUAAUAGACAACUGAUGUAUUGCUAUUGU
rnacentral:misc_RNA from 1 species